GACGAACGCUGGCGGCGUGCUUAACACAUGCAAGUCGAACGGAAAGGCCCUGCUUUUGUGGGGUGCUCGAGUGGCGAACGGGUGAGUAACACGUGAGUAACCUGCCCUUGACUUUGGGAUAACUUCAGGAAACUGGGGCUAAUACCGGAUAGGAGCUCCUGCUGCAUGGUGGGGGUUGGAAAGUUUCGGCGGUUGGGGAUGGACUCGCGGCUUAUCAGCUUGUUGGUGGGGUAGUGGCUUACCAAGGCUUUGACGGGUAGCCGGCCUGAGAAGGUGACCGGCCACAUUGGGACUGAGAUACGGCCCAGACUCCUACGGGAGGCAGCGGUGGGGAAUAUUGCACAAUGGGCGGAAGCCUGAUGCAGCAACGCCGCGUGCGGGAUGACGGCCUUCGGGUUGUAAACCGCUUUCGCCUGUGACGAAGCGUGAGUGACGGUAAUGGGUAAAGAAGCACCGGCUAACUACGUG
rnacentral:rRNA from 1 species